UUAAAGUCUUGGGAAUGGCAAAGCUUGAAGGCGAUAAACGGGAGAGAGGAUGGUCAGAGAUGGUGAACGCCAAAACGUUUAGUUGUGAGCGACAACGGUAGGAAAAGGGCAGAAAAGAGGAGGAAAAAAUUAUGGACGAAAAAAGAUGGGGUUUUCUUAUUUGGAGGAGAAAUGUCGCAUCAGUCUAGUAAGUUAAAUUUCAAAGUUAAAAUUAGGAAUGAUGUUAAGAAAAAUAUAUCAUUAAUUUAUAUGCGUGUAUGUUAUGUGUAUAAAAA
rnacentral:misc_RNA from 1 species